UACCAGUCAGGACGACACCCGGACGAGCACACCGUACCCGGCCAGCGACAAGACGGUGUUGG
rnacentral:ncRNA from 1 species